rnacentral:rRNA from 1 species
AUUGAACGCUGGCGGCAGGCCUAACACAUGCAAGUCGAACGGUAACAGGAAGAAGCUUGCUUCUUUGCUGACGAGUGGCGGACGGGUGAGUAAUGUCUGGGAAACUGCCUGAUGGAGGGGGAUAACUACUGGAAACGGUAGCUAAUACCGCAUAACGUCGCAAGACCAAAGAGGGGGACCUUCGGGCCUCUUGCCAUCGGAUGUGCCCAGAUGGGAUUAGCUAGUAGGUGGGGUAACGGCUCACCUAGGCGACGAUCCCUAGCUGGUCUGAGAGGAUGACCAGCCACACUGGAACUGGGCCACGGUCCAGACUCCUACGGGAGGCAGCAGUGGGGAAUAUUGCACAAUGGGCGCAAGCCUGAUGCAGCCAUGCCGCGUGUAUGAAGAAGGCCUUCGGGUUGUAAAGUACUUUCAGCGGGGAGGAAGGGAGUAAAGUUAAUACCUUUGCUCAUUGACGUUACCCGCAGAAGAAGCACCGGCUAACUCCAUG